CCUACGGGUGGCAGCAGUGGGGGAUAUUGCACAAUGGGGGGAACCCUGAUGCAGCGACGCCGCGUGGGUGAAGAAGCGCCUCGGCGCGUAAAGCCCUGUCAGCAGGGGAGAAAAUGCCGGUACCUGAAGAAGAAGCCCCGGCUGACUACGUGCCAGCAGCCGCGGUAAUACGGAGGCGGCAAGCGUUAUCCGGAUUUACUGGGGGUAAAGGGGGCGCAGACGGCUGUGCAAGUCCGGAGUGAAAGCCCGGGGGCCAACCCCGGGACUGCUCUUGGAACUGCGUGGCUGGAGUGCAGGAGGGGCAGGCGGAAUGCCGGGUGUAGCGGUGAAAUGCGUAGAUAUCAGGAGGAACACCGGUGGCGAAGGCGGCCUGCUGGACUGCAACUGACGUUGAGGCCCGAAAGCGUGGGGAGCAAACAGGAUUAGAUACCCGAGUAGUC
rnacentral:rRNA from 1 species